CUUUCCCUCUUUCUUUAGGCCUAACACAUGCAAGUCGAACGGCAGCACAGUAAGAGCUUGCUCUUACGGGUGGUGAGUGGCGGACGGGUGAGGAAUACAUCGGAAUCUACUUUUUCGUGGGGGAUAACGUAGGGAAACUUACGCUAAUACCGCAUACGACCUACGGGUGAAAGCAGGGGAUCUUCGGACCUUGCGCGAUUGAAUGAGCCGAUGUCGGAUUAGCUAGUUGGCGGGGUAAAGGCCCACCAAGGCGACGAUCCGUAGCUGGUCUGAGAGGAUGAUCAGCCACACUGGAACUGAGACACGGUCCAGACUCCUACGGGAGGCAGCAGUGGGGAAUAUUGGACAAUGGGCGCAAGCCUGAUCCAGCCAUACCGCGCGGGUGAAGAAGGCCUUCGGGUUGUAAAGCCCUUUUGUUGGGAAAGAAAAGCAGCAGGUUAAUACCCCGCUGUUCUGACGGUACCCAAAGAAUAAGCACCGGCUAACUUCGUG
rnacentral:rRNA from 1 species